rnacentral:rRNA from 1 species
UACGGAGGGUGCGAGCGUUAAUCGGAAUUACUGGGCGUAAAGGGUGCGUAGGUGGUGUAAUAAGUUAUCUGUGAAAUUCCUGGGCUUAACCUGGGCCGGUCAGAUAAUACUGUAACACUUGAGUAUGGGAGAGGGUAGUGGAAUUUCCGGUGUAGCGGUGAAAUGCGUAGAGAUCGGAAGGAACACCAGUGGCGAAGGCGGCUACCUGGCCUAAUACUGACACUGAGGCACGAAAGCGUGGGGAGCAAACAGG